AGCCUGAACGCUGGCGGCGUGGCUAAGACAUGCAAGUCGUACGGGAUCGGUAGCAAUACCGGUUCAGUGGCGGACGGGUGAGUAAUGAAUCGCUAACGUGCCCCGCAGUUUGGGAUAGCCGUCCGAAAGGGCGGGUAAUACCGGGUGACAUCACUUCCAGGCAUCUGGAGGUGCUCAAAGGCGUAAGCCGC
rnacentral:rRNA from 1 species